GCCUAACACAUGCAAGUCGAACGGGCAGCACAGGAGAGCUUGCUCUCUGGGUGGCGAGUGGCGGACGGGUGAGGAAUACAUCGGAAUCUACUCUGUCGUGGGGGAUAACGUAGGGAAACUUACGCUAAUACCGCAUACGACCUACGGGUGAAAGCAGGGGAUCUUCGGACCUUGCGCGAUUGAAUGAGCCGAUGUCGGAUUAGCUAGUUGGCGGGGUAAAGGCCCACCAAGGCGACGAUCCGUAGCUGGUCUGAGAGGAUGAUCAGCCACACUGGAACUGAGACACGGUCCAGACUCCUACGGGAGGCAGCAGUGGGGAAUAUUGGACAAUGGGCGCAAGCCUGAUCCAGCCAUACCGCGUGGGUGAAGAAGGCCUUCGGGUUGUAAAGCCCUUUUGUUGGGAAAGAAAUCCAGCUGGCUAAUACCCGGUUGGGAUGACGGUACCCAAAGAAUAAGCACCGGCUAACUUCGUGCCAGCAGCCGCGGUAAUACGAAGGGUGCAAGCGUUACUCGGAAUUACUGGGCGUAAAGCGUGCGUAGGUGGUCGUUUAAGUCCGUUGUGAAAGCCCUGGGCUCAACCUGGGAACUGCAGUGGAUACUGGGCGACUAGAGUGUGGUA
rnacentral:rRNA from 1 species